rnacentral:SRP_RNA from 1 species
UGCCCACCGGCGGGGAAGCUUUUGACCUUUGCCAGGUCCCGAAGGAGGCAGUCCGUAGGGUGCUGGCCCUGGGCGAGGCGCGCGAGGUUGCCGAGGUCA